rnacentral:rRNA from 1 species
AUACGGAGGGUGCAAGCGUUAUCCGGAUUUAUUGGGUUUAAAGGGUGCGCAGGCGGAUAUUUAAGUCAGUGGUGAAAUCCCGGGGCUCAACCUCGGAACUGCCAUUGAUACUGAAUAUCUGGAAUACGGUUGAAGUGGGCGGAAUGUAGCAUGUAGCGGUGAAAUGCAUAGAGAUGCUACAGAACACCGAUCGCGAAGGCAGCUCACUAAGCCGAUAUUGACGCUCAGGCACGAAAGCGUGGGGAGCGAACAGGAUUAGAAACCCCAGUAGUCC